rnacentral:rRNA from 1 species
GACGUAGGGCGCGAGCGUUGUCCGGAUUUAUUGGGCGUAAAGAGCUCGUAGGCGGCUUGUCGCGUCGUCCGUGAAAACCUGCGGCUCAACUGCAGGCUGGCGGUCGAUACGGGCAGGCUGGAGUUCGGUAGGGGAGACUGGAAUUCCUGGUGUAGCGGUGAAAUGCGCAGAUAUCAGGAGGAACACCAAUGCGAAGGCAGCACUCUGGGACGUGACUGACGCUGAGACGCGAAAGCGUGGGGAGCAAACAGG